rnacentral:rRNA from 1 species
UACGGGGGGGUAAGCGUUGUUCGGAAUUACUGGGCGUAAAGGGCUCGUAGGCGGCCAACUAAGUCAGACGUGAAAUCCCUCAGCUUAACUGGGGAACUGCGUCUGAUACUGGAUGGCUUGGAUUCGGGAGAGGAAUGCGGAAUUCCAGGUGUAGCGGUGAAAUGCGUAGAUAUCUGGAGGAACACCGGUGGCGAAGGCGGCAUUCUGGACCGACAUUGACGCUGAGGAGCGAAAGCCAGGGGAGCAAACAGG